GCCAGAGAACUACGAGCUAAGCUUAAAACUCAAAGGACCUGACGGUACCCUAUGCCCCCUAGAGGAGCCUGUCUUAUAAUCGAUAUUCCCCGCUCAACCUCACCAUUUUUGGCUGUUUUUCAGCUUGUAUACUUCCGAUGAUAGCUUACCGCAUGAGUGAAACUUAGUGAGCAUAAUGAUUACACAUUACACCAAUACACCAGGUCAAAGUGCAGCAAACAAAAUGGAAUAUAGAUGGGCUACACUCUCUAAUAUAGAAGACACGAAAAGAUUAUUUGAAAUUAUGAUCGGAAGGUGGAUUUAGAAGUAAAUAGAAGUUAGAGUAUUCUAUUUA
rnacentral:rRNA from 1 species